rnacentral:sRNA from 1 species
UGUAUUAGAAAAUUGGAUUUUGAGAAAAGUUUAUAAUGUUGGUCUGAGAUAACGAAAAAUAUUCAUUUUAUGGUUGUGUAUGAAUUUUUAGGAAAUUGAUGAUGAUGAACCAAUGCAGUCUCAGGGGAUGGAAGAAAACCCUGAAGAAGAGGAAAAAGAAGGGGAAGAAGAAGAAGAAUCUGAGGUAAAUGGUUAUUUAUGUAAAUUGUGUUUGAAUAUUGAAAAUAGUGUAUAGGGACAACUAGAAAACAAUGAGUACAACUUAAUAGUAUUGGUUUGUUUGAUUGGUGCAUGCAUGGAUUUAUACGUGAUCAAUCAUACAUUGAUUUGCAUUAGAAAAUUGGAUUCUGAGAAAAGUUUAUAAUGUUGGUCUGAGAUAACGAGAAAUAUUAAUUUUAUGGUUGUGUAUGAAUUUUCAGGAAAUUGAUGAUGAUGAACCAAUGCCAUCUCACGGGAUGGAAGAAAACCCUCAAGAAGAGGAAAAAGAAAGGGAAUAAGAAAACCCUGAGGUAACAUUAAUUUCUGAAAAUUUUGUUUGAAUAUCCAUUGAAAGUAGUGUAUAGGGACAACUAGAAAACACUUAGGACAACUUAAUAGUAUAGUUUCAACUUAUGUGAUUGGUGCAUGGAUUUAUACGUUAACGUGAUCAUACAUUGGUUUGUUUGAUUGGUGCAUGAAUUUAAUUGUAUGAUUGGUGCAUGAAUUUAAUACGCAUAGUUUCAAUUCUGAGAAAAGUUGAUAAUGUUGUUAUGAGAUAACUAGUACAAGUAGUACAACAAAAUAUUAAUUGUAUGUUUGUGUAUGAAAUUUCAGGAACUUGAUGAUGAGGAACAACCAAUGCAGCCAGAGAGGAUGUUCUUUAGUACAAGCGAAUACGUGAAGACGUGUAAGAUAGGGACGAGAUGCACUGUGCAACAGACAGUGAAGUAUUUGGAGGAGUUUAAAGAAGAUUUGCCAUGGUUCAAGGCGCAUCCACAGUUUAGGCAUGUAUUCCACAUGCCUGAGGAGAAAAACCACAUGACCCAAGGCUUGUUGAUGCUUUUGCUUCGCACAGCACAGACAUAGAUGGAUAGGGAGUGCUGGUUUGUGGUUAAUGGAGUGCCUAUUAGGUACUCCAUUAAAGAGCAUGCGUUGUUAUGUGGUUUCGAUUAUCAUGAUUACUCGGAGGAGUUGCAGCCGAGUAUGAAGAUCGUGGAUGCAGAUUUGAAGUUUGCCAAAAAGAUCUUUAAGAAGGUAUCUGAGAUUAAGAUCGUUGAUGUUGAGAAAAAGUUGGAUGAAAUGAAGAAAUGUGGAGAAAAGAAGAAGACGGAUAGGAAGAAGUUGGCUAUCUUGCUUUUUUGUGCAAGGUGAUCGCGGCCAAGUCAAAGGUUGAUGGAAACAUUGACAAAUUCUUUCUGAAGAUUGUUGAUGAUGUGCGUGCAUGUGAGACAUUCCCAUGGGGUCGUUUCACAUUUGAUGGAUGUAUGGAAGGUAUCAAGUCGGUAAUGAAAUCGAUGAAAGGGAAAGCAAAAUUGCAGACUUGUUUCUCCGGAUUUAUUCUUCCAUUAGAGGUAACAAUUUAGAGUAAUAUCCAUUAUAAGAUGCAUUAGUAGACUUAAAAAUAAUACUAAUGUGACUUUUACUUUGAAUGUGUAGAUUUUGCCUUUUGAGGCUAUUCCACAUUUGGGACAAAAGUUUAGAGACCAUGUAAGGUUCGAGAAUGAGUGUCCGAGAAUGUGUAAGGCCAAAUUCUCUAGUAGUGUCAUGAAAGGGUUCUCGUUGGAAGAGAUAAACGAGGAGCUUGGAAGUGUAAAGGUACGAGUUGUCCCAGUUAUCUCUAGAGUUGUCCCAGUUAUCUAUGAGCUAGAAUAUGAUUAUUUUUGAUGUGUGAAUUUGUAUAGGUUAUCUCUAGCAUUUUGGAACCGGAUUACGAGGAGAAAGAUUUGUUGAGGCGGAUUGUAGAUGGUGAUCAUGUUGAUGAUGGGAUAGGGUUUGUUGAUCCGGUUGUCGAUAGCUGGAGAAACCGUUUGAUCAAAGAGAGGAAGAGAAUCUUCUGGAAGGAUAUGUUUGAAGCGGAUGUCCGGGCCCGAAGCGGCGACGAGCAAAUGGAGGAAGAGAAUGUUCUGAGACAUGUUCCGGAUGUUCCGGGCAGCAGUAGCUCUUGCUCUUUGAAGGAAGAUAUUGAUGAAGGCUUUAAGAGAGUGAUGGCGAUGUUGGCGGAACACAAUGAAAGGCUUGUAACCAUUGAAAGGAGACAAGCCGGUGAGAGUGUGCCUCCAUUUGAGAAGAAGGUCCAUUCCGAUGUGAAUAAGGAGAAGGAAGAUGGUGGUAAGAAUGAGAAGAACGUGAAUGUGGCUAUUGAGACUGAGGCUAGUGUUGAGCCCGAGGCUAAUGAGACCCAUGAUGUUGAGCCUGAGGCUGUUGAGACCGAUGGUGUUGAGACCGAUGGUGUUGAGAUCGGUGGUGUUGAGACCCAUGAUGUUGAGACCGAUGGUGUUGAGCCUGAGGGUUUUGUGCCCGAGUUUGUUGAGCCCGAUGAUCCGAGUUCUGCCAUGGUUCUUUAUGUUCCGGAUGUUCCAAUCGGUAUGGUUUGUUUUGUCAAUCUUUGAUCUUUUUAAUAUAUGAUGUUUGUUGGUUAUAAAUGGUUGUCUUUUCUUUUGAAGGUGAUGUUCAAGUUGAAAGGGAAACUGAAGCGGAUAAAGGCGAUGAUGAGACGCCGAAGAAGGAAACGAAGAAGAAAGGGAGGAAGGGAAAGGGAAAGUGCAACGAUAAGAAGAAUGAGAAGAAGAAAAGAGACGAGGAUCCUGAGGACGAGGAUGAAGGUGGCAAAAAGAAACGUAAGAUAAAUCCAUCGAGAUUCCACACGCCACCUUAUACCGCGGAGAGAAUGAGAGGGACCAAGGGUCCGAUUUACGUUUGGAGAAAAAUGUAUUGAAGACUUGUGUUUUUGUGGGAACGAUUUACUUAUGUAUUUCGGAUGUAUUGAAGACUUGUGUUUUUGUUAUUUAGGAUGAUUGAUCAUGUUGUUUUGGGAUUUAUGUUACUUAUGUAUUUACGAUGGUUGAUCUUGUUUUUAUGGUAUUUAUGGUAUUUAGGAUGAUGUUCAAAACAAAAGGUACACGUAGUUUAUAGUGAGGUACAACUCAAUUCCAAAAGAGGUACAACUAACAAAUCAAAACAAGUACAAAUGAGUUCAAAACAAGUACAAGUGAGUUCAAAAAAGAGGUACAAGUAGUUUAUAGAGAGGUACAACUCAAUUCCGAAAGAGGUACAAGUAGUUUAUAGAGAGGUACAACUCAAUUCCGAAAGAGGUACAAAUUACUUCAAAACAAGUUAAAAAGGUACAAAUGACUCUAGAAAUAGGAAUUCAACAUAGUUUCAAACUUUAACAUACUUGUUGCAACAUAAAAAGGAAAUACAAUCACAAAGUCAAUUAAAUCAUUUUACUUCUUUCCAAGUGCAUCCAUAAGCCUUGUGAUCUCUGCAUCUUUCUUGUCCAAGCGGUCUUUGAGGUCCUCAAUUUCAGCACGGAUUUGGUUAAUCUGGAGACGAUUACUAUCACCUCCAAAUUUGAAUGCGUUUUGAAUCAAUUCCCUGUGCUCGCCAAAUCGUUUGUCGAUGCAAAAGCACUGCUCGUGAACUACAAGAUCCCAACCCUUGUCUACGUGAUAAUUAUCAUCUUGACCACUCAUCGGACAUUUGAGAAAUGUCUUCUUUUGAUCGCCAAUAAGACGCUCUACAAGCUCAAGCUGUUUACCACAAAAACAGAUUUGGGGAACACCAAAAUCACCAUCGUACUUGGAAGGAUCAUCGGAUCGUUCCUCUGAUAAAGAAGGUGACGAAUAACUAAGUGGCAUUAUUUGCUACAUAGCCAAACACAUGAAAAUCAAAAGGGGAUAAAUUCCAAAAUAUAAAUCCUAACAUCCAAACCCUAGAUCUUUAAGAAAAUCCAAAAUCCAACCCCUAGAUAUCAAAUUAUCAUAAACGGCAACUCUAAUUCCUUUGCAAACCAUAAUUCAAUAGAAUUGGGGGAAAAUCAAAACCCUAAUUUAUUUUCUAUCCAACCCGAAACUUACCAAUUAACUUGGACAAGGCGGCUGAUGCGAAAGAUUCAGCGUCGGCGGAGGUUCGUCGUGUUGUUCGUCGGCGGAGGUUCGUUGUGUUGUUCGUCGGCGGAGGUUCGUCGUCAGAGAAGAGAGAAGGAGAGAAGAAAACUUUUCGAGAGAAGAAAGGAGAAGAAGGAAAUAAAGAAAGAGAGAGAAAAAUUUGUAAUUUAAUGAGAUGAGAAAGAUUUUUUGAAUUGAAAUUGAAAUACAUAGUGUGAACACAUAGUGUGAACGCAUAAUGUGAACACACAAUAGUUAUUAUGAUAAUAAAAGUGAAAUGCGGGCCCAGACAAAAUACUGCGCAUUAACCAUAGUUGUGCCAUAAGUUAUUCAGUUGUCCCGUACUCAAUUUAUUUGUACUUUGUGGAAGUUUUAGUAUUUAGAGUUGGACUUCAUUAAGGGAAUUAACUUUUAGUUGGACAGAUGAUAUAAUAUGUUUAAUAAUAAGAUAUCAUGUUUUAGUUAUAUAAUUUUCCAAAUAUAUGCGUUUUGUCAUGUUUAUGUCAAGAUGGUCCAACAUGAUACAAUGCAUACCAUAUAAUGUAAGAAGUGUUUUCUGAAUUGAUGAGUAUAAUAUGUUCAAUUGUUUUUUAGAUUGUAUGAUAAUUAGUAUAAGUGAUUAAUAAAUGUUCAAGAACAAUGUAUAAUUAUGAGAAAAAUUAAAAAAUUACCUCCUUUUUAAUAAUAUCAUAUUUUAGUAGAUAAAAUAAAUAAACUGUAUUUGUCUCAUAAAUAGUAAAAAUAUAUUAAAAAUACAGCUUCUUAAAAAUUUUCAUUUAAUAUAUUAGAAAUAAUUAUAGUUUUAAUUAAAAGUAGAGAGAGGUGUAUUUUUCAUACAAAAACCAUAAACUAGAUAGUUUUUCAUAAAAAAACCCAUAUUUUUGAUAUAAUAAAAAUAUUUAAAU